rnacentral:rRNA from 1 species
CAAGGUUUCCAGGGGAAGGUUCGUCCGCCCUGGGUUAGUCGGGACCUAAGCUGAGGCCGAAAGGCGUAGGUGAUGGACAACAGGUUGAUAUUCCUGUACUACCGAUAACCGUUUGAGAGAAGGGAUGACACAGUAGGAUAAGCUAAGCACACUGUUGGUUAUGUGUGCCCAAGCAUUGAGGCAGUCAAAGUAGGCAAAUCCGCUUUGAUAAUGCUGGGAUGUGAUGGGGAGCGAAAUUUAGUAGCGAAGUAGCUGAUUUCACACUGUCAAGAAAAGUCUCUAUCGAGGUUAAAGGUACCCGUACCGCAAACCGACACAGGUGGGUGAGGAGAGUAUCCUAAGGCCAGCGAGAGAACUGUUGUUAAGGAACUCGGCAAAAUGACCCCGUAACUUAGGGAUAAGGGGUGCCACCAUCAGGUGGCCGCAGAGAAUAGGCCCAAGCGACUGUUUACCAAAAACAUAGGUUUCUGCUAAGUCGCAAGACGAUGUAUAGGAGCUGACGCCUGCCCGGUGCUGGAAGGUUAAGGGGAUCUGUUAGAGCAAUCGAAGCAGUGAACUUAAGCCCCAGUAAACGGCGGCCGUAACUAUAACGGUCCUAAGGUAGCGAAAUUCCUUGUCGGGUAAGUUCCGACCCGCACGAAAGGCGUAACGAUUUGGGCACUGUCUCAACAACAGACUCGGUGAAAUUGUAAUUCCGGUGAAGAUGCCGGAUACCUGCGACAGGACGGAAAGACCCCAUGGAGCUUUACUGUAGCUUGACAUUGGGUCUUGGUACUACAUGUACAGGAUAGGUGGGAGGCUUUGAAACCAGGACGCCAGUUUUGGCGGAGCCAUCCUUGGGAUACCACCCUUGUAGUACUGGGACUCUAACCAUAGGCCAUGAAUCUGGUCUUGGGACACUGUCAGGUGGGCAGUUUGACUGGGGCGGUCGCCUCCCAAAAGGUAACGGAGGCGCUCAAAGGUUCUCUCAGUACGGUCGGAAAUCGUACGUAGAGUGUAAAGGCAAAAGAGAGCUUGAUUGCAAGACAUACAGGUCGAGCAAGGAUGAAAAUCGGACUUAGUGAUCCGGUGGUUCUGCGUGGAAGGGCCAUCGCUCAACGGAUAAAAGCUACCCUGGGGAUAACAGGCUUAUCUCCCCCAAGAGUCCACAUCGACGGGGAGGUUUGGCACCUCGAUGUCGGCUCAUCACAUCCUGGGGCUGUAGUAGGUCCCAAGGGUUGGGCUGUUCGCCCAUUAAAGUGGUACGCGAGCUGGGUUCAGAACGUCGUGAGACAGUUCGGUCCCUAUCCGUCGCAGGCGUAGGAAAUUUGAGAAGACCUGUCCUUAGUACGAGAGGACCGGGAUGGACGU